GUCGAGUUUGUCGUGUUGAAGCGUGUUCGGAGAUUUCAUAAAGCCUACAGUGGAUUUAUGUUAUAUUUUUUGCUGGAUUGAAUUCAAACUGACAGCUGCUGGAUGAAAACAUAAUUAGUAAGUUGUUCAUAAUCAUUAUUUGUGAUGACAGGCUGUCGAAGAUGCAGGCUAUCUGGCAUUUUUGAUUAAAUGGCCAAAAGUAGCGUUGUUUGUUGCUGCUUGUGUUGUUGACCGCCGUGUCUGUUUGCUUACUGUAGCAAUGGCAGGACACACAUUGCUUGCAUACUUGAAGCCUAAUUUGGUGUCCUGUUUGGUUGAUUGUGUGGCUGUAUGUGCAUCCAGCAUCAUUGAAUGUCAAACGCUGAAUGCCCACUAGUUUAAUCGAUAUCUGAAAUAGCCAAUCAGAAGUUGUAAUUCUAAAAUAUCAGCAGAUCGCCGUUUAAUGAUAAAUCCAUGGCACUGUCUAUGGUGGUGAAAUAGCACACAUCAUCCAUUCCGCCCUCCCAGCCUAUAGGUUCUCUAUACGGCUUUUAUAUUAGCACUACUCCCCCUCAGCUCCGCGCCUGAUGUCUAGGGAACAUUUUUUUAAAUUAGCAUUCAUAUGGAGCUGUGUUUGUGGGCAUCUAGCAAAUGGUACAUGAAUGGAGCAGCUGUAUUUUUCACAGGACUAAUAGGGCUGAUAUUUUACCUUGAACUGGGCUCUGACGCUGCGUUAUACCUACAUUGAUCUACAGUUGCCGUCCUUCAAGUGUGGUGCAGUCUUUUGGUGCGACCGGUACCCAAUCACAGUGCAGUCAAAGGGAAUGCUAAACAAGAUGACUGGUCAGGAGCGGGGACGUCUUCAGCAGGACAUUUUUCACUUCACAGGUUAUAGUAGUUCUGAUUUGUGUGCACCGUGAAAAAUACAGGUGUGUACUUAUAUACGCAUACACACACACACACACACACACACACACAAAAGAUGUAGAAUGCCAAAAUGUAACCAUGAAUAGUAAAAACGGACUAUGUAAAAGGUAGAGUAGGAGUUAGAGGGUGUGAUCUGUGUUCAUUGAACUGCAAUUAUAAUGUGUAAUUGUCAUUAUUCAAGCAUUUUUCACUUUUAAAGGGGCCACCAAUUUUACACACAAAGUUCAGUUUUAAUUGUCACAAAGAGUACUACACACCCUGUGAAAACUGUUGUAUACCUGUGGCUCUAGAGGAGAGCUUUCCAAAGUUCACAAAUCGAGCUUUUUGUAACAGGAGGCCUGCAUUACUGGGCUGAUUUGAUUUUGCCAAAUGUCUGUCUUCACUUGAUUUGAUGCUGUUGUCUUAAUCAGGGGGACUGAGCAGCAAAGCCACUCUGAUUUAG
rnacentral:lncRNA from 1 species